rnacentral:rRNA from 1 species
GACAUAGGUGGCAAACGUUAUCCGGAAUCAUUGGGCGUAAAGCGCGCGUAGGUGGAACGAUCAGUCCGGUCUGAAAGCCCCCGGCUCAACCGGGGAGGGUGGCUGGAAACUGUCGUUCUUGAGGGCGAGAGAGGAGGGUGGAAUUCCUGGUGUAGCGGUGAAAUGCGUAGAGAUCAGGAGGAACACCCGUGGCGAAGGCGGCCCUCUGGCUCGACCCUGACGCUGAGGCGCGAAAGCGUGGGGAGCGAACGGG